ACGGCGAGUGAAGCGGCAAAAGCUCAAAUUUUAAAGCUGACAUCUUCGGUGUCCGCGUUGUAAUUUUGUGAGGCAUCUCCGGGUAGGGCGCCGGCCUAAGUUCCUUGGAACAGGACGUCACAGAGGGUGAGAAUCCCGUGCUUGGCUGGCUGUCCCCGUCCAUGUGAGGUGUCUUCGACGAGUCGAGUUGUUUGGGAAUGCAGCUCAAAAUGGGUGGUAAAUUUCAUCUAAAGCUAAAUAUUGGUGGGAGACCGAUAGCGCACAAGUAGAGUGAUCGAAAGAUGAAAAGCACUUUGAAAAUAGAGUUAAAAAGUACGUGAAAUUGUUGAAAGGGAAGCGCUUGAGAUCAGACUUCGGUAAGGGGUGAUCAGCCGUCCUUCUGGGCGGUGCACUUGCCCCCCUCCGGGCCAGCAUCGGUUGAGGCGGCGGGAUAAAGGUCCCGGGAAUGUGGCUCCUUCACGGGAGUGUUAUAGCCCGGGUGAAUGCCGCCAGCUUCGACCGAGGACCGCACCCGCAAGGGUUAGGAUGCUUG
rnacentral:rRNA from 1 species